CUGUAGAACAACUGAUGCAGCAUAGUGGCUAGAAAAGGUCCAGAAGCCUGGGGUUGGUCUCACUUCCUGAUUGGUAUUAUAUUAUUAAAAGGUCCAGAAGCCUGGGGUUGGUCUCACUUCCUGAUUGGUAUUAUAUUAUUAAAAGGUCCAGAAGCCUGGGGUUGGUCUCACUUCCUGGUUGGUAUUAUAUUAUUAAAAGGUCCAGAAGCCUGGGGUUGGUCUCACUUCCUGGUUGGUAUUAUAUUAUUAAAAGGUCCAGAAGCCUGGGGUUGGUCUCACUUCCUGAUUGGUAUUAUAUUAUUAAAAGGUCCAGAAGCCUGGGGUUGGUCUCACUUCCUGAUUGGUAUUAUAUUAUUAAAAGGUCCAGAAGCCUGGGGUUGGUCUCACUUCCUGAUUAGU